rnacentral:rRNA from 1 species
CCAUUCCGAACACGGCAGUUAAGCUCUUCAGCGCCGAUGGUAGUUGGGGGUUUCCCCCUGUGAGAGUAGGACGCCGCCAAGC